AUUGAACGCUGGCGGCAGGCCUAACACAUGCAAGUCGAGCGGCAGCGGAAAGUAGCUUGCUACUUUGCCGGCGAGCGGCGGACGGGUGAGUAAUGUCUGGGAAACUGCCUGAUGGAGGGGGAUAACUACUGGAAACGGUAGCUAAUACCGCAUAACGUCGCAAGACCAAAGAGGGGGACCUUCGGGCCUCUUGCCAUCAGAUGUGCCCAGAUGGGAUUAGCUGGCAGGUGGGGUAAUGGCCUACCUGGGCGACGAUCCCUAGCUGGUCUGGGAGGAUGGCCAGCCACACUGGAACUGUGACACGGUCCAGACUCCUACGGGAGGCAGCAGUGGGGAAUAUUGCACAAUGGGCGCAAGCCUGAUGCAGCCAUGCCGCGUGUGUGAAGAAGGCCUUCGGGUUGUAAAGCACUUUCAGCGAGGAGGAAGGCAGUAAGGUUAAUAACCUUGCUGAUUGACGUUACUCGCAGAAGAAGCACCGGCUAACUCCGUGCCAGCCGCCGCCGUAA
rnacentral:rRNA from 1 species